AUUGAACGCUGGCGGCAUGCCUUACACAUGCAAGUCGAACGGUAACAGGUCUUCGGAUGCUGACGAGUGGCGAACGGGUGAGUAAUACAUCGGAACGUGCCCGAUCGUGGGGGAUAACGAGGCGAAAGCUUUGCUAAUACCGCAUACGAUCUACGGAUGAAAGCGGGGGAUCUUCGGACCUCGCGCGGACGGAGCGGCCGAUGGCAGAUUAGGUAGUUGGUGGGAUAAAAGCUUACCAAGCCGACGAUCUGUAGCUGGUCUGAGAGGAUGAUCAGCCACACUGGGACUGAGACACGGCCCAGACUCCUACGGGAGGCAGCAGUGGGGAAUUUUGGACAGUGGGCGAAAGCCUGAUCCAGCCAUGCCGCGUGCAGGAUGAAGGCCUUCGGGUUGUAAACUGCUUUUGUACGGAACGAAAAGCCUCUUUCUAAUAAAGAGGGGUCAUGACGGUACCGUAAGAAUAAGCACCGGCUAACUACGUGCCAGCCGCCGCAGUAAUAC
rnacentral:rRNA from 1 species